ensembl:lncRNA
CUUCCUGUUUCUUCCUUCCCAACUGUCUUGAUGGAGAUUUUCUCACAAAUGAUAGAUGUGAUGUCAGAUGAAGAACAUUGUACUUAUGGCCAGGAGACUGGAUUUCAAUCAUCACUUUGCUACUUACUGCCUACGUAACCUUGGAAAGUCACUCAAGGAAACUGAAACCCCAGAAUUUAUCCUCAAAAUGAUACUCUACUCCACGGAAGAUAUUGCUGUUACUAUGAAGAUUUUCAAUAGCUGCCUAACUCCCAGGAAUAAAUGUCUGGCCAUCAUCCUCUCAGGGAGCUUGUUGGAGGAAGGGAGAUGGGUGCACAGAAGUCUCCUUCCUUGGUGGAAGCAUAGACAUGAGGAAGCUACUAUUAAACUUCUACACCCCAGUAGAAGACAAGUAUAGAACUUGCAGCUGAAUAUGUUCCUGCCACGUUUCUCCAAGGCUUUUCAGCAAAGCCUCUUGACUCAGCUCGAUCCUGUUGCCUGCUUGCCUGCUAUCUGCUCCUGCCUGCAGCCAUCUGCUCUGCACCUUCUUGAUUCAGAUUGCUCACCUGGUCCCAGUCCUGCCCGCCCACCCGGCUCCUGUUGCCUGUUUCUGAGCUCCAGCAAUCCAGACCUGCUUGACCCAGAUCGCUCUCCGGGUCCCAACCCGGCCCAGCCCCAGCAACUGCAGCCUCUGAGACAGAUCACCCCAGCCCAGCCCCAGGACCCAGGCUGCUAGUAGCUGUCCUAAUUUCUUCAGGACUCACAAACACCAGCUGGUAAAAAUGGGGUUGAUAUUUCCUUAGGCUAUAAUUAGCAUCCACGUGGUGGCAGGGGACCAUAGGUGGGGAGAAAGAGGAGAAGAAAGAGACUUCCAAAUAGGAAGUUACAAGCAUGGCUUAUUUAAAAGAAUAUCUUUUGAGUACACUGAUUUUGUUACUUAUCUCACCUGAGAUUCAGGGGGAAAAUUCAGCUCCCUGCAACUCUUUGGCCCAAUUUGAGAUUCCUAAAACCCACCCUCACUCUGGGUGACCAGAUCAGUGGCUCAAUGGAUUGAGAGCCAGGCUUAGAGAUGGGAAGGCCUGGGUUCUAAUCUGGCCUCAGUCACUUCCUAACUAUGUGACCUAGGGCAAGUCACUUGAACCCCAUCACCUACCCCAUACCAAUCUUCUGCCAUCUGACAAUAGGCAUCUAAAUGGAUUUAAAAAAUGAACUUUAAAGAGACUGGAGGUUAUAUUUUUAAGGCAUUUUUAAACUCCAAUGUUUUAUAAAAACCUCUGUGUUUUAUUGCAUUUUACUGAUUGUUUUGUUUAAGAUUUAAUUUUGUUGGUUUUAAGUUCAUAUAUUAAUGUAUUCAAUACUAUUCUGUUACAAUGAAUCAUUUUAAUGUACUGGGUUUUAACUACUGUUAUAUUCUGUUGCUUUUCCCCUAUAACUAAACUGAACAAAUAUUAUUACAUAAGCCCAUAUAUGAAAACAGCCCUUUUCUAUUUUUGGCUUUGUAAAUUGUCAUCUAAAGGAUGGAUAGACUUCAUAAAAAAAACUGGUUACAAUUAUAUAACAACCUUCGGAAAAUUUAAUGAGCUAAAUAUCUCAAACUGAUUUUAAAGGUGUCUUUUAGCCAUGACUUUUAGAUUUUUCUCCCAACAACUCUGGUCAUUUUGCCUGUUUCUAACAGGAGGUAAGGUCUAUUUUAGUAGCUGAAGUAAAAUACAAUUAUAAUCCCCACCUCCCACAUUUAUAAAAAUGUGAAUGGAUGGGACUUCACAAUCUCAUACUAAAGGAGCUGGGAAGUUAAUCCCAGGGCACUAUACCCCUCUGGAUGACUCUCAAAAGCAGAGCAUGUCUCAUUUAUAAUUCUUUAGCUCACUUUACCCAACAUCAACAGUUCAGAGGUUUGAGUUUUUCCUAGAUUCCUCUGCCACAUUUUUAAUGAAAUCUAGAUUUCUUGAUUACCCAAAUAAGUUUUACAUUGUUUAAAAAUCUGUUUGCCAAGGUUGAAACAUUGCUAUACCUGAAAAACUUGUGACAAGUAUUCAUUUUCUUUAAAUAUCAAUCAGUAGACUUAUAUAAAAUAUGAUAGUGGGUUUGCUUGCUAUUGUAUUUAAUUGGGGUAUUGAGAAUGUUGGGGAUAUUGAUACCUACAUAUUUGUACUACUGUUCUUUAUUAAAAAAAUUGUUACCUUGUUAAAUUCAUUUGCUUGUACUCACAGUGGAUCAUGGCCAGGUAUGAAGAGGAAAUGGAUCUCAUUUUUGGUGAGAAACCUUGUAUUCUAUAUUUCCUUAGCUGACACAGUGUGUCAGAUUAUAAGCAGUAUUUUUUAAUUUAAAAACACUUUUAUUAUUAUAUUUUUCUUGAAUGUGCAAUAUACUAUUUCACUCUCAUUUUUUCUCUCCUUUUUAUAUUUGAAGCACAUGUCACCAGUAGUAAGAUUUUCUUUAACUUUUUUGAUUUAGCAGUAAUAAAAGUUUAGAAUACAUUUGCUAUGAUGUCA